rnacentral:lncRNA from 1 species
GGGAUUUCACCCAUGAACCCUAAUAUGCGAUUGUAAAUGAAUCGUCUGCAACGUGAAGAUGACUCUCAUCUUCCCCCUAACCUGUUUUCAAUUCUUACCUCAAUCGACCAGAUCUGAGAUGGAUAGAUUGUUUAAAAAAUCUAUACAUCUACACAUACGAGAGAGAGGGAGAGACAAGAUCCAGGGGAGAUGAUGACACGAUUCAAUGGCGGUUGAAGAAGAUCCAACGGUGGCGAUGGUGGUUUCAAGGUCAAAGCUUUGUUUUCAGGUGAUCCUGCUACUACAAUGAAGAUGAUGUCGAAAUUAGUGGCUGAAGAUUCCGAGCUGAUGCCUUCAAAACGGUUCAAGGAAGCUGAUGGGUUGCAUGAAAUAUAACAGUAUUGAUUUCAGUAAAGAGGAAGCUGGGAAACUAAUUUGACGUAAUUUGUUAAAAGAUGUAGCUUUUGGUGUUUUUUGUGCAGAAUAUUAAGGUAUGAUACAGAUACACUACAUCUUAUACAUAUUGCUCUGCUAUUUUGUAAAUUCUCAGUGUCUCCAUUUAGUUUAUGAGAUUGUUAGUUGAGUUUAUAUGUAUAUAUGUAAUAUUGGGUUUAAAACUCUUCAUUUUCUUGAGUUUGCUACAUAUGUAAAGGCGUCAAACCUCAGAGAUACACUUGAAAUCCAUGAAGGGAGUAUAAAUCCAUCAAAUGGUACCUGCAUUGCACUCGGUUUGGGUUAGAUUUGACUCCUAGGGUUCCGGUCGAGACUUCCAGAGAUUUCGACAUCUUUUCUGUUGUGAGAGCGUUAGUUGAGUCGAGAGUCAAUCUCAAGACGAGCGAGUCGAUUUUACUUAAGUUCGAAGGGAUCACCAGGUCUGGUAGUUAUUUUUCUCUAGCCAAUGCAACAAGGGUUGUAGCUGAAGUAGUCGUGGCGGCAACAAAUGCAGCCGCCGAGCCUGCUAGGCUUAUAAGGUCAUCUAAAGAGCUUGAAGGGACAAUUCGAACCACAUCAGAAUGAGCCAACUGGAAUGUAUAAACCUUUGGUGCCUAAUGACAAAAUGCUAGAAAUUGACACGUGGCCAUGAUGGCAUAAUGGGUCUUGCCAAAGCUCUCAUCCCCUAACUAAGCUUUUCAGGAGCAUGGUUUGAUAUUGGAAUGUCAUUUUGGAACGAUGGUUUUUAGUACAACUUGUAGAAUGUGCUAAAGGGAUAAAUUUCAUUUGUAUGUGCAGGUACUAUCAUGUGACGGUGAACAUAGGGAAUCCACCGAAACCUUAUUGGCUGGACAUUGACACUGGCAGUGAUCUCACUUGGCUUCAAUAUCAUGUGACGGUGAACAUAGGGAAUCCACCGAAACCUUCUCGGUAUAACAUGUAGGUGUGAAAUUUCAACAUGACACGGAACUAAGACGCAAUCUAUAUGUUUGAGUUUAGUCAAAAUCUGGUGUGGUAAGUUUUGGGUUGAUCAUGUGAACAGAUUUAUAAAUGGCCGAGUUCGGGUUGACUCCUAUAUUUCUUUAAAAUAUUUAGGGGAUAUUCCUUGUCUAAAAUUACAGUUCUGUAGCUUAAGCGUAAUUGUUUUAUAGACCAUUUUUUAUUUCUAAUUUUAAAGAUGAAGGUCAUGUAUUAUCUUGGGGUUAUGGUGGACAUGGACAGUUGGGACACUUUUCUACGCAAAACCAGCCCGUUCCCACAGUUAUUGAGUCUCUAGCUUCGGAGAAAGUUGUUUAUAUUGCUUGUGGAGGAUCUUCAUCAGCUGCUAUAACUGGUGAAGAUGGACCUAACCCGGAUGGCGAUCAAGCAAAUACCAAGAACCAAACGCACUAAAUGAAGCUUCCGCAUUUUGUCUAUUUUGUUUUACAAAUAUGUAAACGCUUGAAACUAAGUUUUAAAGGUUAUCUAGUAGUAUGAUGACUUG